rnacentral:rRNA from 1 species
UACGGAGGGUGCAAGCGUUAAUCGGAAUUACUGGGCGUAAAGCGUGCGCAGGCGGAUGUGCAAGACCGAUGUGAAAUCCCCGGGCUUAACCUGGGAAUGGCAGUGGAGACUGAACGGCUAGAGUGUGGCAGAGGGGGGUAGAAUUCCACGUGUAGCAGUGAAAUGCGUAGAGAUGUGGAGGAAUACCGAUGGCGAAGGCAGCCCCCUGGGAUAACACUGACGCUAAUGCACGAAAGCGUGGGGAGCAAACAGG